rnacentral:rRNA from 1 species
AGUAACACUUGGGAAUCUGGCUUAUGGAGGGGGAUAACUGUGGGAAACUGCAGCUAAUACCGCGUAUAAUCGAGAGAUGAAAGGGUGGGACCGUAAGGCCACUUGCCAUAAGAUGAGCCCAAGUGGGAUUAGGUAGUUGGUGGGGUAAAGGCCUACCAAGCCUGCGAUCUCUAGCUGGUCUGAGAGGAUGGCCAGCCACACUGGGACUGAGACACGGCCCAGACUCCUACGGGAGGCAGCAGUGGGGAAUAUUGCGCAAUGGGGGGAACCCUGACGCAGCCAUGCCGCGUGAAUGAAGAAGGCCUUCGGGUUGUAAAGUUCUUUCGGUGAUGAGGAAGGGGUAUUAUUGAAUAGAUAAUAUCAUUGACGUUAAUUACAGAAGAAGCACCGGCUAACUCCGUGCCAGCAGCCGCGGUAAUACGGAGGGUGCGAGCGUUAAUCGGAAUAACUGGGCGUAAAGGGCACGCAGGCGGACUUUUAAGUGAGAUGUGAAAUCCCCGAGCUUAACUUGGGAACUGCAUUUCAGACUGGGAGUCUAGAGUACUUUAGGGAGGGGUAGAAUUCCACGUGUAGCGGUGAAAUG